GCCCAUGCCCUUCCUAAUGCGGCACAGCCACACAGGAAAGAGACUUGCCAGAGAAAGGUGGGGAAGGCUGUGCUGUCCCUCAGAGGAGAAAGAGUCAUGGCAGGUCCCAGGGCUAGUCCAGGGCCAGGAUGAAGGCAUGGGUGUCCCAAGAGUGUCUGCUCCACGACUGGGGUGCUCCUGAGAGCUGACCCGGCACGUGGAAAUAUUUAGUUUGUUGCGGGAGUACAGCUGUGGGCACAGGAGGCACCAUUUAGCCCAUCUUUGGGUUUCCAAAUUCGACGUAGAUUGUGGAAGUCCACGAGGAAAGAAAUUAGCAAAUCUGGAUGAAAUGUUUCUUGUUCAAGGCACAUAGAAGUUACCAAAACUGGCUUCCUAAUAGCUGACUUAUGAGAAGAGAAUCUAAAAAUGUGAGUCCCUUGUAAUGCCUCAGGUGAAUAUGGAGUUGGAAGGCAAUGCUCAAAAUAUUUGAGGAACUGGUAAGUCGGGUGCCAUUUAAACUAUUCCAGGUCCAAAGUGGGGACGGAUGCUUGCAGCUUGGCUUCCAGUACAAGCGAAAACAGGAUCACGUUGGGAUUCAACUCAGUCUUUCCAAAGUGGUCGAUGAGAUGGCGUUUGUACUCCUCAAUCACAGACCUCGAGAAUAUCUUGCCAUGUGGUCCAUGCACAGAUGCAUCUUCCAUUUGUGGGAGCUAACAAAAAAUCUAUCCAGUUGACAGCCACACCAUCCAGCUCAAUGCCAUCUCCCCACCCUCACAGCGCCCUGCAAUCCCAUCUUGCUGAUUUGGACACGAUUUGCCUCAUCACAGUGAGAGAGCCAUGCCAGGGUGUCCCAUAGCCCUGGGAACCAUGUUCACACCACCUCCAUCUGCCAAAACAGGAGCAUCUCUGGAUGGGUAACCUGAGUCCAGAACCUGGCCUUUCCCUUGGCCUGGCUUAGCAUUUGUCCCUGAAUGGCAUGACUCGACCAUUCUCCCAAGUGCUGCCCCUUGGCUUAGGUGUGUCUGGAAGAAUUACCAGCCUGAACUGGCCUUUCCUUCACCCUUGAGGAGACCAACAAGAACUCUCCUCAACUCGCCAACCUGCCCCUGGGUUUCGAUGUAUACCAGACCUGUCCCCGUGAUCCCAAGACCUUGGAGAGCACCCUGUUCUGGCUCUCUGGAGGGAAUCAGACUCUCCCUAACUACAAGCACCCGACUACAGCAAAUCCGUGGCCACCGUUAGAGGAACCACUUCAGCACUGUCAGCCAAGGUCGAAACCCUUUUGGAGCUCUCCAGAAGCCCCCAGAUUUACAUCAAACAUUGGUCACCGGGGCGAAGGGACCCCUGUUUCCGAAGUCUCGUUGGGCAAGGCUGAUGGAGACCCCAUGACCUUGUUGCUACACCAUCUGGAACUCACGCCUUAUUCCAUUGCCAAUGAAGGACACAAAGAGCACCUGGGGCCUUACUCACCCUCCUUUCUCCUUUGGCCUAAAAGUGAUGCCCUUCGGCAGAAGUAGCCACACGUCCAUAAGAAAAGCCAAGGGGGCUAGGACACAUAGUCUUCUGUGUGCCAGAAUGAAAGGAGAACUGGAUGCAGUCUGCCACGCUCUUUUUCUACACCAAAUCACUCACUCUCCCUGUCACAUACAGAGUUCCCUCGCCCUCUUUCCCCAGGAGGACAUCCUAAGACCCACUGAACUCAGGAUCUCUUGCUGAUCCUUAGGCUAACAGAUCAAAGUGUUCAGUGGCCACACAUGACAAAGAAUACAGAACUUUCAGGAUUGGAUCAGAAUAUCCCCUAAAGUAUCUAUCACCAUCUAUUGCAGUCAGCAUCCCCCAGAAAUGCUGGGGAGGUGGAGAACCUGAUUUCCCUAGUUGUCAUGUCAUAAUAUUCCAAAUGGUAAGUUUUCUGCCCAAAGUUCCAGGGCAUACAAAGAGACAAAGAAGGAUGGCUCCUACCUAGGAAAAAUCCAAAAACAGAAGGGGCCCCUGAGGAAGCCCUCAGGGGUGAGCACACAAAGCUUUCUCUGGUUGUUGCUGUUCACAUUCCUGUGUCGAGCCUCUGUCUUCCUAAGCAGCAAUAUGCUGAACACCUCUGUUUCAGGGUCAAGAUAGAGUCAGAGGCCAAGGAUGCCGGAAAUGGAUUUGUCUCUUUCCUUCCGUCUUUGUCCGUGACUAUACCAACUGCCUGAUCUAGAUUUACAGGGAAAACCUGGGAAACCUACCCAAACAAGUGUGUUUUGGUUCCUGUAGGAAGAAUACAGAAAAUAUUGCAGUUGUUUUUGGUGAUGGAACUGAAGUUCAUGGAGCCACUUUCCACCUCAAGGUGAAUUUUGUGUAGAAAAAAAUU
rnacentral:lncRNA from 1 species